AAAGCAGGGGACCUUCGGGCCUUGCGCUAUCAGAUGAGCCUAGGUCGGAUUAGCUAGUUGGUGAGGUAAUGGCUCACCAAGGCUACGAUCCGUAACUGGUCUGAGAGGAUGAUCAGUCACACUGGAACUGAGACACGGUCCAGACUCCUACGGGAGGCAGCAGUGGGGAAUAUUGGACAAUGGGCGAAAGCCUGAUCCAGCCAUGCCGCGUGUGUGAAGAAGGUCUUCGGAUUGUAAAGCACUUUAAGUUGGGAGGAAGGGCAGUAAGCUAAUACCUUGCUGUUUUGACGUUACCGACAGAAUAAGCACCGGCUAACUCUGUGCCAGCAGCCGCGGUAAUACAGAGGGUGCAAGCGUUAAUCGGAAUUACUGGGCGUAAAGCGCGCGUA
rnacentral:rRNA from 1 species